rnacentral:rRNA from 1 species
CACGGGGGGAGCAAGCGUUGUUCGGAAUCACUGGGCAUAAAGGGUGCGUAGGCGGCUUGUUUAGUCACUGGUGAAAGUUUUCGGCCCAACCGGAAAAUUGCCUGUGAUACUGGCGAGCUUGAGUACGUGAGGGGUUGGGGGAACGAGCAGUGUAGCGGUGAAAUGCGUAGAUAUCAGGAGGAACACCGAUGGCGAAGGCAGGUCUCUGGGCAUUAACUGACGCUGAGGAGCGAAAGCAUGGGGAGCGAACAGG